UUUUUUACCAUCGUCACCGUCCCCUGCCACCUCCCUGGGGACAUCCAGCUCCACGUCCCGGUGCUGCAGGCGCACGGGGGGGCCGGGGGGGCCGGGGGGCAGCGCCAGGAGCAGCUCUGUGCAGUGACACCAAUGGGGACUGUCACCUCCCCCCCCCCACACCCCACCCCCCCUCUGGACAUGGGGACAGCACCACGGGGAUGGGGGGGGGACGUGGUCAUUGUCACAUAUGGGGACACUGCCACCCCCAUGUACGGGGUCACUGUCACCAUCACACAUGGGGACACCCCCACUGUCACAUAUGGGGACAUUGUCCUGUAUGGGGACAGUGCCACCCCCACAUAUGGGGACACUGCCACCUUCACCUAUGGGGCCAUUGUCAUCUGUGGGGACACUGCCACCUCCACGUAUGGGGACAUCUCCAGUGUCACAUAUGGGGACAUUGUCACCUUCACCUAUGGGGACAGUGCCACCUCCACAUAUGGGGACAUCUCCAGUGUCACAGCUGGGGACAGUGCCAUGUCUGGGGACACUGUCACCUUCAUAUAAGGACACUGCCACCCCAUGUGUGGGGACACUGCCACAUAUGGGGACAUUGACAUGUAUGGGGACAUCACCACCACCGCAUAUGGGGACACUGUCAUCUAUGGGGACAGGGCCACCUCCACGUAUGGGGACACCUCCAGUGUCACAGCUGGGGACAGUGCCAUGGAUGGGGACACUGCCACCUCCAUGGAUGGGGACAGUGCCACCCCCACACAUGGGGACAUUGCCACCCUCAUAUAUGGGGACAGUGCCACGCAUGGGGACAUUGCCACCUCCAUGUAUGGGGACAGUGCCACGCAUGGGGACACUGCCACCUCCGUGUAUGGGGACAGUGCCAGCCCCAGGUAUAAGGACGCUGCCACCAUCACUUACGGGGACAGUGCCACCCCCACGCAGGGGGUCACCGUCACCAUCACAUACGGGGACAUCCCCACUGUCACAUACGGGGACACCGCCCCCCCCCAUCCGUGGUGUCCCUGUCACACGGGGGAUGCUGCAGUACCGGUUCCGGCCGCGGUGCUCACGGUGGCGCUGUCGCCGUCGGGGUGGCCGCGCAUGC
rnacentral:lncRNA from 1 species